rnacentral:rRNA from 1 species
AGGGAAUAUUGCACAAUGGGCGAAAGCCUGAUGCAGCGACACCGCGUGCGGGAUGACGGCCUUAGGGUUGUAAACCGCUUUCAGGAGGGAAGAAAUGACGGUACCUCCAGAAGAAGCUCCGGCCAACUACGUG